UACGUAGGGUGCAAGCGUUGUCCGGAAUUAUUGGGCGUAAAGAGCUCGUAGGCGGUUUGUCACGUCGGAUGUGAAAGCCCGGGGCUUAACUCCGGGUCUGCAUUCGAUACGGGCAGACUAGAGUGUGGUAGGGGAGAUCGGAAUUCCUGGUGUAGCGGUGAAAUGCGCAGAUAUCAGGAGGAACACCGAUGGCGAAGGCAGGUCUCUGGGCAUUAACUGACGCUGAGGAGCGAAAGCGUGGGGAGCGAACAGG
rnacentral:rRNA from 1 species